rnacentral:misc_RNA from 1 species
GGAACAUAAACAUAGUAUAUAAAAAGCAGCAACGUAAAUAGAGACAACAGAAUGAGGUUGCGCUUGUUUCAAAAUACACGAGGAGUUUUUGGGAGUUGGUGGACGUCGAGGUGGUGCUUGUGGUGUUGGAGGUCUCCCUUUUUCUUAUUGUCUUUGGCCCUUUUUGUGUGCUAGAAGACGGCCGCUGAUUCUAUUGUGACUGUCGGUAAUUAGCUCUCCUCCGCCGGUUCACCAAGCCACCAUUCUCAUUCUUCCAACACAUCCCAAAUUUCCUUUCUCAACCACCCGUUCUUGAACCCGGCCAUUUUUCUCUUCUAAUCUUUCUAAUUUUUAUACCAAAAUCAAUCAAACCAAUCCAAAUAAGGAACUCAUUUCGUUGUUUUUCUUCAAAAUGGGAAAGGGAAGGAAAAUAAAGACCAAGGGAAGGAUAUCGAAAAUAGGGAGUUAUGCGAUAGCGUCGUCAAUGUCGAUGAGGGACCAUCGGCAACAGCCCUGCAUUACCUGUACCACCUUCAACAUCUUAGCCCCGAUAUACAAGCGCCUCAACCUUGACAACAAUCAAAAUUCCCGUGAAAGCGAUUGCAGAGCCUAUUGGCUUGCCAGAAACAACCGGAUUUUGGAUUCCUUAUUGCACGAGAGAUCUUCCAUCAUUUGUCUCCAGGAAUUCUGGUUGGGGAACGAAGAGCUGGUGAACAUGUACGAGAAGAGACUGGGUGACGCUGGUUAUGUCAAUUUCCAGCUUGCGCGCACCAACAACCGCGGUGAUGGACUGCUGACUGCUGUGCGGAAGGACUAUUUCAGAGUUAUUAAUUAUCGAGAAUUGCUCUUCAAUGAUUGUGGAGACCGUGUUGCUCAGUUGUUACAUGUAGAAUUAGCAGCCCCCUUUUCACAAUGCCUAAACUACAAUGAUACUUGCCAAGAAAUUCUCAUUGUGAACACCCAUUUGUUAUUUCCUCACGAUUCAACUUUAUGUCUAGUACGGUUGCAUCAGGUAUAUAAAAUCCUGCAAUAUGUGGAAUCUUAUCAGAAAGAAUGCAACCUUAACCCAAUGCCAAUUAUACUCUGCGGCGACUGGAAUGGAAGCAAAAGUGGGCAUGUUUACAAGUUCCUCAGGUCACAAGGUUUUGUAUCAUCAUAUGAUACCGCUCAUCAGUACACUGAUGCAGAUGCUCACAAGUGGGUUAGCCACCGAAAUCAUCGUGGGAACAUAUGUGGUGUGGAUUUUAUAUGGCUUCUCAAUCCUAAUAAAUACCGUAAACUACUAAAAGCUAGUUGGAGUGAAGCCGUAUUUGGCAUGUUCAAGUAUCUACUACGGAGAGCUUCACUCACAGAAGAGGAUGCCUUUGCUUUUCUGAAGGCUGAUAAUGAUGGCGAUUGCAUUACCUACUAUGGUUUCUGUGAGGCUCUUCGACAGCUUAAUUUAACUGGUCAUUGCCAUGGACUCAGUGUUGAAGAGACAAAGGACUUGUGGGUCCAAGCAGACAUUGAUGGAAAUGGUCUUCUUGAUUAUAAAGAAUUCCAGGUAUCCAACUUAAAAUGAACAUUUUUAUUUGUAUCAAUUACAAAAACUGUCAAAAGUUACCCCAAUUUCGAAAUAGUUUUCUGGCAAAUGCAACCACUUUGCAAACUCUAGCACCAGGACCCAGCAAUCUAGGGUGUUUUAAGCCUUACAGCAUAAGCAUUUCACAAAUCAGUUGCCUUUCUGUCAACAUGGUUCAUGUUCUGAACCCAGAGGGUUCCACAUAUUUGGUAACCUUAAUAUAAAAAUUCUAUAUCUGCAAGGUGGCCUGACAUGUCCUCUUAAAGUAUAAUUUGGUUGAAGAAAUGCUACUGAUUACAACAAUGUUCAUUUUUAGACUAUUUUUUAUUGCACUUCAGACUAUGAUGGUUAUAUUGUGGAAUAAUGAAACUGCAGCAUGGAAUCUGGAAUCCUGAAUCUGUAGAACAAAAUGAUGAAAAUAAUAAUGAAGACCAAAAUGACUUUCCUAAGGAUGGGCAAGAGCAAACCAUUGGUUUCAGCGUGGAGAAUGCUGUACUUUUCCCUCCUGAAGUGGAGAAAGGAAGAUGGCCUGAAAAUUAUUUUCUUUCUGAUCACGCUCGGCUCACCGUGGUAUUCUCACCAAUAACCAUGCCCUGCUCACAGGCAAUAUCCUGACAGACCUGAAAUGCAAAGGCUAUGGACAGGUUAUGAGACGGAUGCUAGAACGGACAAGGGAUUUAUUUGCAGAGGGACUUUCUUAAGUUCUUCCUUUGAGGGAAGAACAAUUAUAAGUUGAUUCUUGCGCCAUCUUCAAUGGUCUUUUGAGUAUCAAAUCUUCUGCUUCUUCAGAGAGUAGUCCCAAUGUGGGACUGAAAUAUUCUCAGAAUUCCUGUUGGGGGCAUUCACAAGUUGGACGCUCUAUAUAAGUAAGGAAAAACAAGGCAAAAAAGAGGAAGAAGGGAAGAAGUUGAAGAUUUUAAUUUUGAGGAUACAAGAAUGUGACACAUGUCAAUUUUUUUAGUGAACUGGGGACUUCACCAUUUUUAGUGCUGCUUGCAUUUGAAUUAUAUUCAGGGCAAAAUUGAAAGCAACGGUGUUGAAAUGGGUUGUUCCACCAAAUCCAAAUUGUACAGAAAUGUAUAUUGGAAUCUAUUUUUCUGGUUUCCUAAUAUGAAAAGGGUUACGUGAGGGGAGAAUGGCAU